UUGGUAAGGUAACGGCUUACCAAGGCGACGAUCAGUAGCCGGCCUGAGAGGGUGAACGGCCACACUGGAACUGAGACACGGUCCAGACUCCUACGGGAGGCAGCAGUGGGGAAUAUUGCACAAUGGAGGAAACUCUGAUGCAGCGACGCCGCGUGAGUGAAGAAGGUCUUCGGAUCGUAAAACUCUGUCCUUGGUGAAGAAAAGGACGGUAGCCAAGGAGGAAGCCCCGGCUAACUACGUGCCAGCAGCCGCGGUAAUACGUAGGGGGCGAGCGUUGUCCGGAUUUACUGGGCGUAAAGGGUGAGUAGGCGGUUGUAUAUGUCAGGUGUAAAAGGCUAUGGCUUAACCAUGGUUAGCACUUGAAACUGUGCAACUUGAGUGCAGGAGAGGUAAGCGGAAUUCCUAGUGUAGCGGUGAAAUGCGUAGAUAUUAGGAGGAACACCAGUGGCGAAGGCGGCUUACUGGACUGUAACUGACGCUGAGUCACGAAAGCGUGGGUAGCAAACAGGAUUAGAUACCCUGGUAGUCCACGCUGUAAACGAUGAGUGCUAGGUGUUGGGUAGCGAUACUCAGU
rnacentral:rRNA from 1 species